AUUGAACGCUGGAGGCAGGCCUAACACAUGCAAGUCGAACGAGUGGCGGACGGGUGAGUAAUGUCUGGGAAACUGCCCGAUGGAGGGGGAUAACUACUGGAAACGGUAGCUAAUACCGCAUAACAUCGGAUGUGACCAGAUGGGAUUAGCUAGUCGGUGGGGUAACGGCUCACCUAGGCGACGAUCCAUAGCUGGUCUGAGAGGAUGACCAGCCACACUGGAACUGAGACACUGUCCAGACUCCUACGUGAGGCAGCAGUGGGGAAUAUUGCGCAAUGGGCGCAAGCCUGACGGAGCCAUGCCGCGUGUGUGAAGAAGGCCUUCGGAUGGUAAAGUACUUUCAUCGAGGAGGCGUUACUCGCUCAAGAAGCCCCGGCUAACUCCGUGCCAGCAGCCGCGGUAAUUC
rnacentral:rRNA from 1 species